UACGGAGGGUGCAAGCGUUAUCCGGAUUCACUGGGUUUAAAGGGUGCGUAGGAGGGUAGGUAAGUCAGUGGUGAAAUCUUCGAGCUUAACUCGGAAACUGCCGUUGAUACUAUCUAUCUUGAAUACCGUGGAGGUGAGCGGAAUAUGUCAUGUAGCGGUGAAAUGCUUAGAUAUGACAUAGAACACCAAUUGCGAAGGCAGCUUACUACAGGGAUAUUGACACUGAGGCACGAAAGCGUGGGGAUCAAACAGG
rnacentral:rRNA from 1 species